rnacentral:rRNA from 1 species
AACGAACGCUGGCGGCAUGCCUAACACAUGCAAGUCGAACGAAGUCUUCGGACUUAGUGGCGCACGGGUGCGUAACGCGUGGGAAUCUGCCCUUGGGUGCGGAAUAACUUCUCGAAAGGGAUGCUAAUACCGCAUAAUGUCGUAAGACCAAAGAUUUAUCGCCCAAGGAUGAGCCCGCGUAAGAUUAGCUAGUUGGUGGGGUAAAAGCCUACCAAGGCGACGAUCUUUAGCUGGUCUGAGAGGAUGAUCAGCCACACUGGGACUGAGACACGGCCCAGACUCCUACGGGAGGCAGCAGUGGGGAAUAUUGGACAAUGGCGAAAGCCUGAUCCAGCAAUGCCGCGUGAG